rnacentral:siRNA from 1 species
CAAUGAUGUGGUGUACUUUAGUAG